CUUAUACUCCCUCCGUCCCAAAUUUCUUGUCUUAGAUUUGUCUAAAUACGGAUGUAUCAAGUCACGUUUUAGUAUUAAAUACAUCCAUAUCUAGAGUAAUCUAAGAAAAAAAAAUUGGGACAGAGGGGGUACUUG
rfam:Triticum aestivum genome assembly, contig: Triticum_aestivum_CS42_TGACv1_scaffold_643278_T_7BL-0.155544_4BL-0.081001